UAUCCCUAUGAAGAAUGAUCAGAUCGUUAAAAGUAGUGCCUGAUUUCCAUUGAUGAACAGCAAAUUCUGAGGGAUA